rnacentral:rRNA from 1 species
GACGAACGCUGGCGGCGUGCUUAACACAUGCAAGUCAAGGGGGCCCAGCAAUGGGCAACCGGCGAACGGGUGCGUAACACGUGAGCAACCUUCCGAGAUAUGGGGGAUAGCCGGCCUAACGGCCGAGUAAUACCGCAUACGCUCUCGAUGAGGCAUUUCAUUGAGAGGAAACCUCCGGGGUAUUUCGAGGGGCUCGCGGCCUAUCAGCUAGUUGGCGAGGUAACGGCUCACCAAGGCAACGACGGGUAGCUGGUCUGAGAGGAUGGCCAGCCACAUUGGGACUGAGAUACGGCCCAGACUCCUACGGGAGGCAGCAGUGGGGAAUCUUGCGCAAUGGGCCUAACGGCUGACGCAGCGACGCCGCGUGUGGGAUGAAGCUCUUCGGGAGUGUAAACCACUGUUGCCCGGGACGAAUAGCUCGAUUAAUCGAGCCUGACGGUACCGGGUGA